CCCUCAACCCCCAUCCAAUUUCUACAUCCGCCGCCGGCAUGCUCGAGCUCUUUGUCCGCCGCCGACGCUACUCUCUGCGGCCGGCUGCGUGCUCUCCAGCCGGCGAGGACGCAACCCCCUCCCCAUCUCCCUCACUUACUUCAGCCUGCGCACCACUGAGCCAACUCCACACCGCCGCAGCUAGGCUCGAGCUCUCUCUCCGCUGCGCUCGCUCGGCCUUCACCUGCAGAGGCUCUCACUGCCGCCACGGGCUCGAGCAGCCUCCGCUGUGAGGUUCUCUCCAUGUUGCUACGCGCUCGAGCACCCUCCGCCUCCAGGUGCUCUCUUCUAUCCUGCUUAUCCCCCUCCCCCGUCGCUCACCACACCACCCUAUAUGCACAGGUGGUCCUGCCGUUGCCGUCCACACCCUGCCGACGGCUGCCCUUUUCUUCUGCGCCCAAGCUCAGCCAUCGCCCCUAUGUGCCGCCGGCCAAGAAGGUAUGCUCCGAGAUGCCCCUUGCCAGAUCUGAUUAGGACUGUGGGCCGGUUACAGUCCCUCUAAAGGCAUGGCUUUUGUUACCUCUGCUGUUAGGUUUAUAUUAUGUGUGGAUUUGGAAGCUAUUUCUACGUUUACUAUGUGAUUUGAGAAGAAAACUGUGGCCCCAUGCCUUGCUACCAUGAUGCUUGACUGUACGGCAUGCCCCAUUGACAUGCAAUUCAUAUCUACUGGGAUUUUGAAUUGAAUAGGUGUGAAAUAUCUGGUAGCUAUAUGGAUUCAUUGGCUCUAAAAACUGUUGCCCCAAUGUCUACAAUUUGGGGUCAUGUAGGUGAGGCGUCACUCCUUCAUCAGGUUAUAUGUCAACCUGAAAAUCAUCUAGGCUACAGGAUAGUUCCCCAAGAGCCCCAAUUGCAAGUACAUAUAAUAAAACACUACUCUGCAACUAUAUAAGCAAGGCAUGAUUAGAAAAUUAUUUGCAAAAGUGAGGCUGCACAUGCUUGCGAUUGCUUAUUUCGAGCUCAAGCUUUUAGUUUAUAAUGAUGUGACCACAUGCUUGUGUUUCUUUUCAUGUUUAUUAAUCUGACGGAACUAUAUGAUGCUAAUGAUGGUUGCAGUACUUUAACCUGAAGAGCAUCUUAUUUAUGCCCUGCUUCCCGGAUAUUUUAAAUAUCAGAAUGUUAUGAACAAAUGAAAUCAAACUAUUUGUUGUAAGUUGUAACAUUGGUGGUUUCAUGUCUCCGUUGUUCGCACGGGGCGACCUCAUAGUUUCAUCCAUUGGGACUAAAGUUGGCAAAAGUAACUAGAAGUGAUCAUUUUUUCUGGGUACUAGCUCAUUUGUAGUAGAACACGAUCUAUAUUGUUGGUUUUUGAUGUUUGUUGGCAGUCAUAAAAAUGUCACUACAUAAUUAGGUCAAAUUAUAGAAACCUGAAAUUAUUGUGCACAUAGACCUAAUAUUGACCUGAUGUUGCGGUAACAGCAAGCAAACAAACUGUUGGAUUUAUGUCUUGUUGUAGAGGAAUCUAUUAUUGCUCUGUUUUGCACACUGGUGAAAAUUUAACCACCAGUAUUUUCAAUCCAUAUAUUGAGCUAGGUGUUCACCCUUCGCCGACAUAUUCAUAGAUUUUUUAUGUACUUUGUUUAUUACAAACAUUUAUAUAAACAUAUAAUAUAUUAUAUAUUUAUAUUAAGGACUCCUAGGUUCUAGUUAUUGUACACCUUCUGCUCAAUAUUUUACAGAGUAAUAAAGCAUGGAUGACAAAUUUUGUUGAUCUAGGUUGUCAUAAUUAAUUUGCUUAGUGGAUUUUCAUAAGUAAUUCACAUGCUAUAACUUGGAGGACAGAACUUAGCCAUGCACUAUGCAUGUUAACUAUGAUGGUACUUUGGGAAAAUGGCACACGAUUAGACUGACUUUAUAUGUAAUUGGUGUUAGAAAUGUACUCCCUCCGUCCGGAAAUACUUGUAAGAAAAAUGGAUGUAUCUAGAACUAAAGUACGUCUAGAUACAUCCAUUUCUCCGACAAGUAUUUCCGGAUGGAGGGAGUAUUUUGUAAGCAGAUAAGAUCAAUAUGCUCAACAUGCUACCAAUUCUAACGUGUGGUCGUACUUUGAUAUUCCAAAAACAAAAUCAUAUCAUUUUGUAGCUUUCCCC